UACGAAGGGGGGCUAGCGUUGCUCGGAAUCACUGGGCGUAAAGCGCACGUAGGCGGAUUGUUAAGUCAGGGGUGAAAUCCUGGAGCUCAACUCCAGAACUGCCUUUGAUACUGGCGAUCUUGAGUCCGGGAGAGGUGAGUGGAACUGCGAGUGUAGAGGUGAAAUUCGUAGAUAUUCGCAAGAACACCAGUGGCGAAGGCGGCUCACUGGCCCGGUACUGACGCUGAGGCACGAAAGCGUGGGGAGCAACAGG
rnacentral:rRNA from 1 species